UUGCAGUGAUGACUUGGUAAUCAAAUCUGUCAAUCCCCUGAGUGCAAUCACUGAUGUCUCCAUGUCUCUGAGCAG
ensembl:snoRNA SNORD110 small nucleolar RNA, C/D box 110